CCAAAAUGAGAUGUUUUUAUUGUGGGGAGGGAACUUAUUAGGUUUCUGAAUGCUAAAUGAUGUCCAACAAAUGUUUAUCCAGACCUGCUCCAAACUAUAAUGGCUUCUAUUCCAGGCCAGCCCUCAGCUUUUUGCCAAGUUUUGAGUAAUUGCAUCAUUUGAGUAAUGCUGUUAACAAUUCAGCAAACAGACUCUGUUGAAAACAUUACGUCCUUGGCGGAGGUAUGCAAUAUAUCUUUGAUGAAGGUGAUCUCAGGGUGCAGAUGGCUGCACUGGAAGCAAAACACAAAUCACGAAGAGCAGAUGGUUGAACUCAGAGCCACUCUGUAAGGAUGUUUUGGAUGAAGACGACAGUGCACUGAAAAGGUGGACUGGCUACGCGACGAGCCUACACAAUUUCAUCAGCAGUGGUGUCGCGUUGCUGCGUGGCUGGGGUGAAGCGGUGGCACCACAGCACCUGCUCUCCGUCCCUCCCACCUCUGAAUACAGUCGAGCCACCUGCUUCCAGGGUGAGUGUAGACACACCCUGCCCUACAUCCCUCCCUCUCGCCUGCAGCUAAAGUGGCACUAGCCUGCACAGGAGCUCAGACACACCCUGAGCUUCAACAUGCCUUGCCGCCACGCCACAAGCGGGAGGGAUCUACGCUGCUGUGGGCAUUUUGUGGUUCAUGCUAGAGCUCAACCCCUGAGGCAGUGAAGACUUUAUCGCAGUGGAGCAAAACAGACAGGUAAAUUGACAGGUAGUAUUAAGUGGCGUGCUGAUAACACACUGUGGCCCAUUGGCUGUUUUUGUGAGGCAUGGUGAAGUUUGCAGGUCGGAUCAAGAUGAACAGGACAGGGAAUCAGGUGAAGGGCCGUGGCUCCACACUGAAGGCUACCCCUGUGUUUAUUGUCACCGUCGUCAUUUUAGUUAUAGUCAUAUUUAUUUAUCUGGAGCUCAUGCUGACGUUCCCAUGGUGACUGACAACAGGCAACUAUGAUGUAUAUACUUAAUUAAUAAAUGUGUGGAA